GGGUAUAUAGCUCAGUGGUAGAGCACAUGCUUAGCGUGCAUGAGUUCUUGGGUUCAAUCCCCAGUAACUCCU
rnacentral:tRNA from 1 species